CGGCGGACGGGUGAGUAACGCGUGGGUAACCUGCCUCAUACAGGGGGAUAACAGUUGGAAACGGCUGCUAAUACCGCAUAAGCGCACAGUACCGCAUGGUACGGUGUGAAAAACUCCGGUGGUAUGAGAUGGACCCGCGUCUGAUUAGGUAGUUGGUGGGGUAACGGCCUACCAAGCCGACGAUCAGUAGCCGACCUGAGAGGGUGACCGGCCACAUGGGACUGAGACACGGCCCAA
rnacentral:rRNA from 1 species